rnacentral:lncRNA from 1 species
AGGGAAAUAAUAACAUUGGGAAGAAAUUGUAGGGUUUCCCAGUAAAAGCGGUAUUUUCCCAUGACACCUGGCUCUUUAAAGGUUAAGAGGACUUACUGAUGGCUCAGAGCUUAUGCUAAAAUGGACUUAAAUACAUUUCUGGGACGUGGUCCUAGAAGAGAAUUCCAGCUUUAUUUCAGUCAGAGAGGAAAGGAUUAGGUAUUCCUGAUUUAGAGCAUUCCUGUCUAUGAAGGGGCUGUGAGUGAACAAGGAGAAGCUGGUUUCUUUCUGGAGAUGACAUCGGGAAGGACUUCUAUAUGAAGACAUGUGUGGCAGGCUGCUGCAGAAGCCCUGGGGGUGUAGCCCGGAAGAAAGGAGUCACAGGCCUGUUCAUUUUCAGUGGGCUUGGCAGACACAGGUAAAUGUACACCCAGGUGGGUGGGUAAGGACCGACAGUAGUCAGUGUCAAGAAUGGGAAGAAGGGUAAAGGGUGUGAAGAUGGUUGUGAUUUUAUGUUUAUAUUUUAUGUGGAUGGUCAGAGAAGUUUUCUCUAAGGAGCUGACAUUUGGUAGAGUUCUGAAUGAAAUGAGAGGAACAUUGAGGUAGACCUCUGGUUGAAGAGCCUUCCAGGCAGGAAGAAUGGUCAGUGUGAGGGUUCUGAGUAGGUGUGUCUUUGGCCUGUUUAAAAAAUAGCUCAGAGGCCAUGUGGCUGAAUCCAGAAGAGGAGGGAAGGAUAGGGAAGGUAGAGGUGAGGAAGGUAAAGAGACAGCAGGUGGCCAGGGCACAUGAAGCCUGAAGGACCCUGUACGUGUUCCUGAUUGUGUUCUAAACAUCAUGGGAAAUCACUGGAGGGUUUUGAGUAAAAGAAUGACACGACCCACCUUAUCACUAGGUGGGGAAUAAAGUGGGGCAGGGUGGAAGCUAGGAAAGAAAGCCAAUAAAGCUCAGACCUUGAAGAAGCCACAGUCUAGGGAGGAAACACAUAUGCCAACAAGUGUUCGGAGUAUGGGGUGAUGAGCAUAGAAUUUGGAGCCCUGUAGAAUGGAAUUCAAAUCUUGGCUAGAAUAGGUAUUAGCUGGGUGAUUGUAAAUAAGUUUCUCAUGAUCUUUGAGCCUUGCUUUCCUGGUCAGAAAAGUAAUUUCUACUUCAGGAGAGUUACGAAGAUUAGAUUUGAAAAAGUGUUUAGCUUAAUGCCUGGACCAUCAUAAGGGAUCAAUUACUUCAAGUUGCUUUUAUUAUUGCAGAGUUGGGGUGGAGAGAGGUGGAAGGCAGGGACGCUGGCGAGGACACCAUUGCAUUAGUGCAGAGGACACGUGCCAACGGCCCUAACUAU